rnacentral:rRNA from 1 species
UAAGAGGGGGGAUAACGUCCGGAAACGGGUGCUAAUACCGCAUAGUUUCUUGAUCGCAUGAUCGGGAAAGGAAAGACGGCCUUUGUGCUGUCGCUUAUGGAUGGACCCGCGGCGUGUUAGUUAGUUGGUGAGGUAACGGCUCACCAAGACGAUGAUACGUAGCCGACCUGAGAGGGUGAUCGGCCACAUUGGGACUGAGACACGGCCCAAACUCCUACGGGAGGCAGCAGUAGGGAAUCUUCCGCAAUGGACGAAAGUCUGACGGAGCAACGCCGCGUGAGUGAAGAAAAGGUUUUCGGAUCGUAAAACUCUGUUGUCAGAGAAGAACAAGUUGGAGAGUAACUGCUCCAGCCUUGACGGUAUCUGACCAGAAAGCCACGGCUAACUACGUGCCAGCAGCGGC